UACGUAGGUGGCAAGCGUUGUCCGGAGUUAUUGGGCGUAAAGCGCGCGCAGGCGGUGCGGUAAGUCUAUGGUGAAAGCGCUCGGCUUAACUGGGCGAGGGCCGUGGAGACUGCCGGACUGGAGGGACCUAGAGGCCGGUGGAAUUCCCGGUGGAGUGGUGAAAUGCGUAGAGAUCGGGAGGAACACCAGUGGCGAAGGCGGCAUCCUGGCCCGUACCUGACGCUGAGGCGCGAGAGCGUGGGGAGCAAACAGG
rnacentral:rRNA from 1 species